GUAGACGCUACUGUUUCACCUCCUCUCGGCUAUGCCUUCUCUUCGGAUAGCUCUCUUCCCACGCCGGAAUUCUUUUCCUCCGGCGUACCUCCGAUGACAAACGCCGCCGCCGGUCAUUCCCAUUGGUCACCGGAUCUGUCCUCUGCUCUUUACCGGGUUGAUGGGUGGGGUGCUCCUUAUUUCUCUGUUAACUCCUCCGGUGAUAUCUCCGUCCGGCCACAUGGUACGGAUACUCUUCCUCACCAGGAGAUUGACCUUCUUAAGGUUGCGAAGAAGGCGGCUGACCCGAAACAUUUGGGUGGGCUUGGACUUCAGAUGCCUCUUGUUGUUCGUUUCCCUGAUAUUCUGAAGAACCGUUUGGAGACUUUGCAAUCGGCUUUUGAUAUGGCGGUUCGUUCCAGGGGAUAUGAGGCUCAUUACCAAGGUGUUUAUCCUGUGAAAUGUAAUCAAGACAGGUUCGUGGUGGAAGAUAUCGUGAAAUUCGGAUCGCCAUAUCGAUUCGGGUUGGAAGCCGGGUCGAAACCGGAGCUCCUUUUGGCCAUGAACUGUCUGUCCAAGGGCAGCGCUGAUGCUCUUCUUGUUUGCAAUGGUUUCAAGGAUACUGAGUAUAUUUCGCUUGCUUUGAUCGCAAGAAAGCUCCUUUUGAACACUGUAAUUGUGCUUGAACAAGAGGAGGAGCUUGACCUGGU
rnacentral:lncRNA from 1 species